rnacentral:rRNA from 1 species
UACGUAGGGGGCAAGCGUUGUCCGGAUUAUUGGGCGUAAAGAGCGUGUAGGCGGCCAGGUAGGUCCGUUGUGAAAACUCGAGGCUCAACCUCGAGACGCCGAUGGAAACCAUCUGGCUAGAGUCCGGAAGAGGAGAGUGGAAUUCCCGGUGUAGCGGUGAAAUGCGCAGAUAUCGGGAGGAACACCGAUGGCGAAGGCAGGUCUCUGGGCCAUAACUGACGCUGAGAAGCGAAAGCAUGGGAGCGAACAGG